AAAAUAAUAUUGUUUAUGUUUCUGUUACGUUAUUUAAAAGUCUCCGAUAGAAAGCUCCAGAAAAUUUUUAACUAUCUUCAUGGAAUAGGAACAAAAUCAACUAAAUUACUUACUAAUAAUGGUAGUGGAAAAAGCACGAAAAAGUGUGUUAUCCCACAUCCCAAGUGUGCUCCUAAGGAACUCCAGCAGCAGGCGACUCUACGACCCAGAUGUGAAUCCGAACUUUUUUUGCUCUCUCGUUCUCGGAACACUGAUCUAACGGAAUACAGGAGCUCAGCUAAUCCACAGCCAGUGUAUCUGUUCUAAUAACAUAUGUAUAUUUUGGGAAAAGAUUUCCACUCAAUCAAAUAGGUAGUCACUAUGAAGUCUGCUACGAAACGGAAAUCCUGUUUGGUCUUUAUACGUCGGUUGAUUAUAUUUUAUAUCAUUGCUUCGCUGGAAGGACAAACAUUCGACGUUCGAGGGGACAGCACAACAAGUGUUUUCAAUAGUUGACGCGGAUAGAAUCCAAGUAUUGGACAACCAAAACAAUCAAUUGAAGAGAAUGCCUGACCAGCGGUCUGACCUAAAUCCGAUCCAUUGUCAUCUGUUGCCAGUUACGGAGUAUUUUCACAAGGAGUUUGAGAUUCGUUACCCUAUGCUUCGAACGAGGCUUCGAAUGCUACCCGAUAUGCCGAAUAUGUAUAUUGUUAAUACCCGAUGCUGCUAUUGAUGUGUUUCCACUCCGACCAUCAUGACUCGGUUCCAACAAAAGGCGCCCGAAACUGCACUGAGGAUUAUGUUGUUGAUCAUAUGUUAUUUAUCAGUGUUCAGGUGAUCAGAAUUUGAAAGAACACUAACUUCGCUUUGCUGUAUAGGACCGUCCCCUGCCACCAUAUUCCAUCAUGUUUGUGUAAACAACGAUGAUGUCAAUA